UACACUCCUGCGGGAGGCAGCAGUGGGGAAUAUUGCACAAUGGGCGCAAGCCUGAUGCAGCCAUGCCGCGUGUAUGAAGAAGGCCUUCGGGUUGUAAAGUACUUUCAGCGGGGAGGAAGGUGUUGAGGUUAAUAACCUCAGCAAUUGACGUUACCCGCAGAAGAAGCACCGGCUAACUCCGUGCCAGCAGCCGCGGUAAUACGGAGGGUGCAAGCGUUAAUCGGCAUUACUGGGCGUAAAGCGCACGCAGGCGGUCUGUCAAGUCGGAUGUGAAAUCCCCGGGCUCAACCUGGGAACUGCAUUCGAAACUGGCAGGCUAGAGUCUUGUAGAGGGGGGUAGAAUUCCAGGUGUAGCGGUGAAAUGCGUAGAGAUCUGGAGGAAUACCGGUGGCGAAGGCGGCCCCCUGGACAAAGACUGACGCUCAGGUGCGAAAGCGUGGGGAGCAAACAGGAUUAGAUACCCUAGUAGUCCCA
rnacentral:rRNA from 1 species